GACGAACGCUGGCGGCGUGCUUAACACAUGCAAGUCGAACGAAGAGCGAUGGAAGCUUGCUUCUAUCACUCUUAGUGGCGCACGGGUGAGUAACGCGUAAUCAACCUGCCCUUCAGAGGGGGACAACAGUUGGAAACGACUGCUAAUACCGCAUACGAUCUAACCUCGGCAUCGAGGAAAGAUGAAAGGUGGCCUCUAUGUAUAAGCUAUCACUGAAGGAGGGGAUUGCGUCUGAUUAGCUAGUUGGAGGGGUAACGGCCCACCAAGGCGAUGAUCAGUAGCCGGUCUGGGAGGAUGAACGGCCACAUUGGGACUGAGACACGGCCCAGACUCCUACGGGAGGCAGCAGUGGGGAAUCUUCCGCAAUGGACGAAAGUCUGACGGAGCAACGCCGCGUGAGGGAUGACGGCCUUCGGGUUGUAAAGCUCUGUUAAUCGGGACGAAAGGCCUUCUUGCGAAUAGUGAGAAGGAUUGACGGUACCGGAAUAGAAAGCCACGGCUAACUACGUG
rnacentral:rRNA from 1 species